rnacentral:rRNA from 1 species
UGCUAGUAAUCGCGGAUCAGCAUGCCGCGGUGAAUACGUUCCCGGGCCUUGUACACACCGCCCGUCACACCAUGGGAGUUGGGAGCGCCCGAAGCCGGUGAGGUAACCGAGAGGAGCCAGCCGUCGAAGGUGAGACCAAUGACUGGGGUGAAGUCGUAACAAGGUACC